rnacentral:rRNA from 1 species
UACGUAGGGGGCUAGCGUUGUCCGGAUUUAUUGGGCGUAAAGAGCGUGUAGGCGGCCAGGUAGGUCUGCUGUGAAAACUCGAGGCUCAACCUCGAGACGUCGGCGGAAACCAUCUGGCUAGAGUCCGGAAGAGGAGAGUGGAAUUCCUGGUGUAGCGGUGAAAUGCGCAGAUAUCAGGAAGAACACCAGUGGCGAAGGCGCUCUACUGGGCCACAACUGACGCUGAGGGACGAAAGCUAGGGGAGCGAAAGGG